GUACUUUUUCACCACAACUUUGUAGAAGUACCAACAAAUGUAGAGGUCAUUCCAUGCUCUGCAUAUGCUAUAUUAACCAUUGAACAACAAAAAAGAGAAAAUAAAAAAACCUUUAGAGAAAUCCUCUGUAUAAAACCCAUCUUUUCAAUCUUCAAAGUUCAAAGCUAUAUCACUAUCAGUUGCAAUUCGCGAAGAAGAGCAGAGGAGCAAAAGACUUCAAGGCAACCCAUACCGGUUCAGAUCUGCGAGCAGAGUAGAUAAUCCUUCCUCCAGCUUCUCAUGACUCUCCUUCUUUCUCUUGCUCUCUCUAUUACAUUGUUCAUGCCGAUUAUGAUCUCUUAAACCACAAACAAACGGUGAAGACGAAACAAUCUCGAUCUGGGAAGAAGCCAUAAGUCUAAUAAUGAGACAUCACGACAUAGAAUAAAGUAAAUGCAACAAUUUUAUGCAUACCAUAAACGAGAUACAACCCAUUUUUCCAGAAAAAAAAGGAUGUAUGGGGGCAGGGAAAACCCAAGCGGUAAUUGUGGACCACAAAGAAACGUAUGAAUCUUGUUUUCAGGAUGCUAAACUAACCAGGGUUAGUAACCGGUGGUUAGUAACCACCACCAGCAAUAUAAGUCAUGCCUUGGCUUUUAUUUUCUAAUUUUAGGACUUUAUUGUAGAAAACUGUUGUGUUGCCUUAAAAACGAAUGGCAUGCCUU
rnacentral:lncRNA from 1 species